UUACUCGUUUCUUUACUAUGUGACACUAUGAAACAAAAAAAGGAGAAAAAUGAAUCAUAACUAUAACAGUAAUUUGACAGCUUUAGAAAAACGAUAAUUAGAGGCAAUAUUUUUAAAAUAAAUAAACAUCAACUAAUUCUAUCGUAACAAAAUAUCGACUCCGGCCUGCAUGCUCUAUCUCCGUCCGUCUUUCGAAAUGAGACAGUGAUGGCUGAGCGCUCGUGCCAGACGGACCUGUACUAGGUGUCCCCAAAACAAAUAUAAGAUUUACUUAUAAAAACUGUGCUGUGUUGUGUGUCCUAGUGAUAUACCGUGUGCACCAAAACCUUUAAGUUAUAAUGGGUAACAAGCAAUUGAAUAAAAAGAAAACAUCUCGAAAAAGACAACUCGGAAGAUUCCAACAAACAAUGGAACUAACGAAAAGAAGAAAAUUGGAUAAUUUCACAGCCGAACAUGAUACUAUAUCUUUAGACUACAUCGAACUGCAAAAUAUGGAAAUGGAAUCUCCGAUUUCAUCAACCACUGACAUUCAAAGUAACGAGUAAG